AGAUUUCGAGGUGAGAACGGCCUCCUCACGCGCCAUGAGGUCUAGCGCUCUCAUGGCAAAGUAGCGCUAAAAUUCUGUCCUGAGACGGGGUUUUAUCGGCGAAGAGAUCCGGAGCUGGGCGUCCGGCGAGAUAA
rnacentral:ncRNA from 1 species